UGAGGAAUAUUGCGCAAUGGGGGCAACCCUGACGCAGCAACGCCGCGUGGGUGAGGAAGGUUUUCGGACCGUAAAGCUCUGUCGAGCGGGAAGAAAUGCAUGGUGGCUAAUAUCCAUCAUGCUUGACGGUACCGCUAAAGGAAGCACCGGCUAACUCCGUGCCAGCAGCCGCGGUAAUACGGGGGGUGCAAGCGUUGUUCGGAAUUAUUGGGCGUAAAGAGCGUGUAGGCGGCUGGAUAAGUCAGAUGUGAAAUCCCUGGGCUUAACUCAGGAAGUGCAUUUGAAACUAUUCAGCUUGAGUAAGGGAGAGGAAAGUGGAAUUCCUGGUGUAGAGGUGAAAUUCGUAGAUAUCAGGAGGAACACCGGUGGCGAAGGCGACUUUCUGGCCCUAUACUGACGCUGAGACGCGAAAGCGUGGGUAGCAAACA
rnacentral:rRNA from 1 species